rnacentral:tRNA from 1 species
GGAAGGACUGUGGCUUAGUGGAAGAGCCUCUGCUUUGCAUGUAGAAAAUCCCCGGUUCGAUCCCCGGCAUCUCCA